rnacentral:rRNA from 1 species
UACGGGGGGGGCAAGCGUUGUUCGGAAUUACUGGGCGUAAAGGGCUCGUAGGCGGCCCACUAAGUCAGACGUGAAAUCCCUCGGCUUAACCGGGGAACGGCGUCUGAUACUGGAGGGCUUGAGUUCGGGAGAGGGAUGCGGAAUUCCAGGUGUAGCGGUGAAAUGCGUAGAUAUCUGGAGGAACACCGGUGGCGAAGGCGGCAUCCUGGACCAAUACUGACACUGAGGAGCGAAAGCCAGGGGAGCAAACGGG